rnacentral:lncRNA from 1 species
GGCAUGUGAAACAUAGAAGCCAGAUGCAGCUCUGAGACACAGGUUGUGGGCCCUUUUCCCCUGUGUAACCAUGCACCUCCCUAAAAUGGGCAUGCACGUGUCCUUUCCCCUCCAUGACCUAGAUGGAAGCAUCAAUGAUUGAAGAUCAGCAGCAGCAUGGAACCCUGGGCCUAUUUGGAGAUACCAAGUGAGUCCAAGGAGCUCCCAGAGGCAAGUUGAUGAUGGCCUAUUGAGGGGAUCAUGGAGGCCUGGUGAUGGUAUGCCACUAGCUGAGUUUUGUAUGAAAGCAUAUAUUCCUUUUUCUUGCAAGGUGACAUGAAGGAAAGUAAUGACAUUAAUUGUACCAUAUCAUCCUGAAGAGGCAGUAGAAGCUGUAACAUCAAUAAGCAUUUUGUCCUGAAAAUACUGGCAUUCCUUUAGGGCAUUGGAACACUCAUAUAACAACAAGACUCUGGCUGUGCUAGUUAGUCAUCGAGCUGUCAUCAACUCUGAUGACUCCUUUCUGUUAUUGAAUAUCAUGGAUCAGUGUGUCUGAAGGUAUCAAAACCUGAGUGCUCAGCAUCUGCCACAUAUUUUAAGAUCAAAGUCCCUU